AGCCUGAACGCUGGCGGCGUGGCUAAGACAUGCAAGUCGAACGGGCCUAGCAAUAGGUCAGUGGCGGACGGGUGAGUAAUGUAUCGCUAAUGUGCCCUAGAGCCAGGGAUAGCUGUCCGAAAGGGCAGGUAAUACCUGAUGAAAUACUCUUUUCGCAUGAUGAGAGUCUCAAAGCAGCAAUGCACUCCUGGAGCAGGCGAUAUCGUAUCAGCUAGUUGGUGAGGUAACGGCUCACCAAGGCGACGACGCGUAGCCGGGCUGAGAGGUUGGCCGGCCACGAUUGGGACUGAGACACUGCCCAGACUCCGUACGGGGGGCUGGCAGUAACGAAUCUUCCGCAAUGCACGAAAGUGUGACGGAGCGGACGCCGCGUGUAGGAUGAAGUCCGUUCGGAUGUAAACUACGUGUACGAAGGGAAAGAAAGUUCUAGACUCUAACCCCGAGAAGGAAGGAACGCUAACGUCUGU
rnacentral:rRNA from 1 species